AUCGAACGCUGGCGGCAGGCCUAACACAUGCAAGUCGAACGAGUGGCGGACGGGUGAGUAAUGUCUGGGAAACUGCCUGCUGGAGGGGGAUAACUACUGGAAACGGUAGCUAAUACCGCAUACCAUCGGAUGUGCCCAGAUGGGAUUAGCUAGUAGGUGGGGUAAAGGCUCACCUAGGCGACGAUCCCUAGCUGGUCUGAGAGGAUGACCAGCCACCCUGGGACAGAGACACGGUCCAGACUCCUACGUGAGGCAGGAGUGGGGAAGAUUGCGCAAUGGGCGCAUGCCUGAUGCAGCCAUGCCGCGUGUAUGAAGAAGGCCUUCGGGUUGUAAAGUACUUUCCGCGGGGAGGCGUUAGCCGCAGAAGAAGCACCGGCUAACUCCGUGCCAGCAGCCGCGGUAAUUC
rnacentral:rRNA from 1 species